rnacentral:rRNA from 1 species
AUUGAACGCUGGCGGCAGGCUUAACACAUGCAAGUCGAGCGGUAGCACAGGGGAGCUUGCUCCCUGGGUGACGAGCGGCGGACGGGUGAGUAAUGUCUGGGAAACUGCCUGAUGGAGGGGGAUAACUACUGGAAACGGUAGCUAAUACCGCAUAACGUCGCAAGACCAAAGAGGGGGACCUUCGGGCCUCUUGCCAUCAGAUGUGCCCAGAUGGGAUUAGCUAGUAGGUGGGGUAAUGGCUCACCUAGGCGACGAUCCCUAGCUGGUCUGGGAGGAUGACCAGCCACACUGGAACUGAGACACGGUCCAGACUCCUACGGGAGGCAGCAGUGGGGAAUAUUGCACAAUGGGCGCAAGCCUGAUGCAGCCAUGCCGCGUGUGUGAAGAAGGCCUUCGGGUUGUAAAGCACUUUCAGCGAGGAGGAAGGUGGUGAGCUUAAUACGCUCAUCAAUUGACGUUACUCGCAGAAGAAGCACCGGCUAACUCCGUG